rnacentral:rRNA from 1 species
UACGUAGGGGGCUAGCGUUAUCCGGAAUUACUGGGCGUAAAAGGGUGCGUAGGUGGUCUUUCAAGCCAGAAGUGAAAGGCUACGGCUCAACCGUAGUAAGCUUUUGGAACUGUAAGACUUGAGUGCAGGAGAGGAGGGUGGAAUUCCUAGUGUAGCGGUGAAAUGCGUAGAUAUUAGGAGGAACACCAGUAGCGAAGGCGGCUCUCUGGACUGUAACUGACGCUGAGGCACGAAAGCGUGGGGAGCAAACAGGAUUAGAUACCCCCGUAGUCCCUGAG